AGAAAAGUAAGAAGUUCUCAGGAUUGUCAAGGUCAGAGUCCCUGCUACUAAGCCCUGGAGCAUUCCUUGGAUGAGUGCCGUAGGAUGAACCAGAGGGAGUACGCAAAGGCAGGACAAGGACAGCCCAGAUGGUUAUCUGUCAGUGUUUGCUGGCUCUGCCUGGGAGUGCAAAUGUUAAAGGGUGCCCUUCCGUGGCUGUUCGAGGAUGCUUGCAGUGGGAUGGGAAAGAAGGACCUCUGCUCCAGAGCCACAUGGAAAGCACAUGGCAAAGGCUUGUGGAAAGAUGUUCAUUGCUUCACAUAGGUCAUUUGCCUCUUGCCCUGAAGAAAAUAACCCAUUAGGUAGAAGAAAUGCUCUACAGUUUCACAAAGCAGAAGCUAAUAAUGGGAUAUGAAGACCUGUUAGAAACCAGAAGAAUUAUUUAUGUUAUGCAUAUAUUAUCUCUGGUGGAGCUUCAAGUCAAACAGGAAUACAUGUGCUACAUGGGAAAAAAACCCCAGACUUAUAAAAUCGGAUCGUGGAUGAUAAUGACUUUCGGAAUGACACAGAGUUUUGAAAUUAACUGCAAUAAAAAAUAACUGGUUUGAAGGAAGAGUACUACA